rnacentral:rRNA from 1 species
GUAGUCAUAUGCUUGUCUCAAAGAUUAAGCCAUGCAUGUCUAAGUAUAAGCAAUCUAUACAGUGAAACUGCGAAUGGCUCAUUAAAUCAGUUAUCGUUUAUUUGAUAGUACCUUACUACUUGGAUAACCGUGGUAAUUCUAGAGCUAAUACAUGCUAAAAACCCCGACUUCGGAAGGGGUGUAUUUAUUAGAUAAAAAACCAAUGCUCUUCGGGGCUCCUUGGUGAUUCAUGAUAACUUAACGAAUCGCAUGGCCUUGUGCCGGCGAUGGUUCAUUCAAAUUUCUGCCCUAUCAACUUUCGAUGGUAGGAUAGUGGCCUACCAUGGUUUCAACGGGUAACGGGGAAU